GGAAUUUUUGAGCACUCUAAAGAGAGGGUCUUUAGCCGUUCUGUCAAGUUUGUUGCUGAUACUUUAAAGCAUUACCUAAACAUGGUAUAACUUCCCAUUGAGUACCACAUGUUUUUCCCCUUUUCCAGCCAAACUCCGGUAGUGACAUGAGACUGGUCUAAACCAAACCUCUUCUAGUCUAGUUCAACGUUGACAAAACACAAUUGCAAAUGUUUUUUGUGUCCAUUGAGUGAUGUUUUGCGAAUAAAGCUGGGUUUUCUACUCUCGUGAUGGUAAUUUAAAUUACACUUGGUGAUUGAUGCUGGUAAGUCUUGGUACUUUAAUUUCAAUUGCAUCUACCGCAAUAGCCGUGGUAGGGAGUAAUCAAAGGCAAUGAGGGUAUGAGAUGCAUGCAGUAAUGGAAAGGCAAACCCCUUAUACUUGACAGUGGCCACGUAUCAGACAUUUCUAGGUGGUCAGUGUCUGCAGUGAUUUUACAGACGCCCUGUGGAUCCAAAACUUUCAUCUUCUCAAACCAACUGUCUCCUCAUCAGACCCAUGUUUUUUAAGAUGUGGCGUCAUGUGACUCACUUUAAGUAACACAAAUAACAGGUUGUUUGGGUCAGUGAUUUCCAAUCUAGAUGCUAGUAUAAUCAUUAGCUGCAUACAAUGUUUUAUGUUCCAAUUAUCUUCUUAAAUAUUAGGAAAGGUCAGCUGAGACAAUUGUAAUGUAAUGGAGUUGAAUGUGUUUCCCUGAAUUUCCUCACAAGAGGUGUUUCGCUUUUCAGUUCCCUUUUUAUAUGCCUGUGUGCGUGUGUGUUUUUAUUUUCCCACACUUAUGUAGGGAGCAGAGGGUGUGGCGUGGGUAGAGCAAGGGUUUGUGUCCCCCCCCCCCCCCCCCCCCCCCAGUGCUAGGGUGUUUGCAAGAGCAGGCAAUAAAAGUAGCGAGACCCAGGGUAGUUGUGCAAUCACGUCAUUUAUCCACUAUAACACAACACAGAGAGGGAGAGGGAGAGCACACUCCCGUUACAGUAAUGUGCAUUUUAACACUCGCCUAUACAAUCCAUUGCAACCAGCAAGUAUAGCUAGCAAGUGAAAUAGGCUAGCCUCUAUUAUGAGCAGAUAUUUGGCAUGCAAUUGAAGCCUCCCAAGUAUGAUGAGUAGAAUUGGCUUAAUCAUAAAGUGCUAACCCUGUUUUACUUACAAAAAAUGUCUCACUUGGUUUGUAAAGGUCUAUCUCACUGGAAUUUUGAAAACAAAUGCUGUAAAGACUAGAACUUACAGAAAAACCCUUAUCCGUUUUGGUUUGAUUUUGGUUUGAAUAAUGCAUGGCUGCCGCCACGAAUUUGACUUUACCCCUUCAAACAUGGUACAAAGGCACUUAUGCAUUUAGAUCAGGGGUUUUCAACUGGUUUUGUCCCAGGGACCACCAUUCUGACUAGAAAGCAAUUCGCGGCCCACUGAUGUGCCUGCGCGCGCGUGCGUGUUUGUAACCGAGGCCACCACGCCCCCUCCCCCCUGGACAGAUAUUCUGCCCAUAACACUUAAAUAUGUGAAAUUGUCAGGGUAGAUCACUAACCGCCGUCGCCACGCCCCCCCCCCCCCCCCCCCCCCCCCGCACACAUAUUCCGCCUGUACCACUUGUCAAUUCUUCGCUGAAUCUACAUCAGUAUAUUUCAGGCAAUGUAUUCAGACUAUUUAGAUUGACAUAUUUUCCUUAUUUUAGAUAUUUUUCACUAUAUUCAAGAGUAAUCUGGAAAUGUAUUGAAAUAUCAAAGGGAAUUUAUACAAAUACAAAAAUUCAAUGGUAAUCGAUCAUCAUAGGCUCAUGUCGCAGACCCCCUGCAAUGCCGUCGCGGACCACCAGGGGGCCCCCGGUUGAAAAUCCCUGAUUUAUAUGGAUAUUAGUGAAUAAGUAAGGCACAUAUGCUUGUGACGUAAAUAUAGAGACGAAAGAUGUAUAUUAAUUAUACAUCGAUCCCCCCCCCCCCCCCAGUCAGUAAUGCGCACAGUAACUCUGCCAAAUAAAGCGCACAUGGGUUUCUGUCCCUCUCCAUCUUUCACAUACAAAAAACAACAUCGGAUGGAUAACAUAUUUUCAUUCACACUCAGUCUUCCAUAAUGAUAAAGUAAGGGGUGUCGUGU
ensembl:lncRNA